CGUAGGGUGCAAGCGUUGUCCGGAAUUAUUGGGCGUAAAGAGCUCGUAGGCGGUCUGUCGCGUCUGCUGUGAAAACUCGAGGCUUAACCUCGGGCUUGCAGUGGGUACGGGCAGACUAGAGUGCAGUAGGGGAGACUGGAAUUCCUGGUGUAGCGGUGAAAUGCGCAGAUAUCAGGAGGAACACCGGUGGCGAAGGCGGGUCUCUGGGCUGUAACUGACGCUGAGGAGCGAAAGCAGUGGGAGCGAACAGGAUU
rnacentral:rRNA from 1 species